AUACGGAGGGUCCGAGCGUUAAUCGGAAUUACUGGGCGUAAAGCGCGCGUAGGUGGAUGUAUAAGUCAGAUGUGAAAGCCCUGGGCUCAACCUAGGAACUGCAUUUGAAACUGUACGUCUAGAGUAUGGUAGAGGUGAGUGGAAUUUCAGGUGUAGCGGUGAAAUGCGUAGAGAUCUGAAGGAACAUCAGUGGCGAAGGCGACUCACUGGGCCAUUACUGACACUGAGGUGCGAAAGCGUGGGUAGCAAAUAGGAUUAGAAACCCUAGUAGUCC
rnacentral:rRNA from 1 species